CAAUUUUUCAACCCAGUAUCACGCUAAAGCGUGUAAUAGACACGCUGGUCCACUAGAGGAUGCGUGUCAAUGUCACGCUUUGCCUCCUCUAGGCGUGAAAAUGACACGCAUUUAUGAGGAUGAUAACCAAUAGGGGGCGAUAAUUUCUUAUUGCCAACAACUUCAACAAGAGAAGCGACGCAGUGAUAUUGCGUUCUCUGGAGUUCCAUGGGUCCGGUCAGUACCCACCACCCUUCCCUGUUAACAUCACCCACAGUUUAUACUUUUUCUUAGAAAACCAACGGCUCUUAAGAGCCACUUCAAUAAUCAACUCGCUCACUCUCCUCAAAAAUGCCAGGCCAGGGGUCAACAACUAGAAAGUGUGUGGUCUGCCAUACACAACUAAAUGUAGCUUGCAAAACCUGCAACACAUGCAAGGUAGAGCAGCCACAUAAGCUCAGGGUAAAAAGGAACUGAAGAAAUUUGAUCAGAAGCGGGAGAGCUGGGUGCAUGAUGAAGAUAUGGAAGAUA